UCAGCCUCUAAUACCAAAAAUGGUGGUCUCUAGUACACUGGUAAAACUCUCAACCUCUCCAAAAUAAAGUACAACGAGAGGUAGACCACCUAGCAAGUCGUCCUCGUAGGAAGCUAGCUCGAAGCAACUCCCUUCCCGCGGUCCCUGGCCUCACCCUGAGUGGAAGGCUCUGAAAAACAUCGAGAAAAAGAGGGCGUGAGAACUAUAAUUUAUAGUUCCCAGUGGGCAAUUACUGACCUCAGCUC
rnacentral:lncRNA from 1 species